rnacentral:tRNA from 1 species
GGAUUGUGGCUCAGUGGUAGAGCACUUGCCUAGUGUGAGGGAGGCACUGAGUUCGAUCCUCAGCACCA